AACACGUGGUAGGACUGUGAGCCCAGCGCCUGGCUUGGCAGGUCGGGCUUUCUGCUCUGUGUGGCUUGCUGGUGGCGUGGGUCUACUCUGCGUCCCCUACCACGGCGUGAAUCCCUGUCCUAGAUGUUUCUUUACGACUCAUCUCUUUCACGAGCGUGACCGGUAACCGACGGCCUCGGAGAGCUUCCAAGUCGCCAUUUUUGGUUGGUGCCUUUGUGGUGCUAUAAGGAUGGGACCGCAGUUCUGCAUAGAUACCAACUAUGGGACUCUCAACCAGCACGAGAACUUGGAGACUAGAGAAGCUGAUUGUGCCUAUUAGUUAAUCUGUAGUCAACAUACACUUGGACGAGAGCUGUCUGUGAGGGACUGGUUCAGUCCCUCACUUGGAGUAUGUCAUGUAAUAGUGGAAGAAACGUGAAAUUCCUAAGGGAUGUAGGUUCUCAACUUGAAUUGAAAAUUCUUACUCCAAAGCCCGGGCUGGUACAGUAACUGUUAAACCACUAAGCCCUGA
rnacentral:lncRNA from 1 species